AGAAUCAACGCUGGCGGCGUGCCUAACACAUGCAAGUCGAACGCGAAAGCCCCGCAAGGGGCAAGUAGAGUGGCAAACGGGUGAGUAACACGUGGGUGACCUGCCUUCGAGUGGGGGAUAACGUCCCGAAAGGGACGCUAAUACCGCAUGACAUCCUGCUUUUGGAAAAGCGGAAAUUAAAGCCGGGGAUCGCAAGACCUGGCGCUUGAGGAGGGGCCCGCGGCUGAUUAGCUAGUUGGUGAGGUAACGGCUCACCAAGGCAACGAUCAGU
rnacentral:rRNA from 1 species